rnacentral:snRNA from 1 species
AGCUUUGCGCAGUGGCAGUAUCGUAGCCAAUGAGGUUUAUCCAAGGCGCGAUUAUUGCUAAUUGAGUUGAUUUUUGUGUAGAGUGAGAGAUAAAGGUCUAGUUUCAUUCUUCAAUAUAUAGAUAACCAAUUUUCUCAUCACCAUUUGUUAUAAAGGU